rnacentral:lncRNA from 1 species
UUAUCAAGAAUGCCAAGUACAUAGCAACACCAGGGAAGGGUAUUUUGGCAGCUGAUGAAAGUACCGGCACUAUUGGAAAGCGUUUAGCUAGCAUUAACGUUGAGAACAUUGAGUCCAAUCGUCAAGCUCUUCGUGAACUCCUCUUCACCUCUCCCAAUGCUCUCACUCACCUCUCUGGUGUCAUCCUCUUUGAGGAAACCCUUUACCAAAACACUUCUGAUGGCAAGCCUUUUGUCGAAGUUCUCCAAGAAAAUAAUGUUGUUCCUGGCAUAAAGGUGGACAAGGGCACAGUGGAAUUAGCAGGAACCAAUGGUGAGACUACAACUCAAGGUUUUGACUCUUUGGGCGCACGUUGCGCACAGUACUACAAAGCAGGUAUGUGUUGAAUUGUGUAAUCAUAUCAUUUUAAAGUUUAAGCUAUUACUAAAACCACACUUUUAAUUAUACUACGUCUCAACAUAUCCCUCAUGAGUGUUGUCCUGAUUCCUUUUUCAUGAGCCAAACACGCGGAA